GAUGAACGCUAGCUACAGGCUUAACACAUGCAAGUCGAACGGAGUGGCGAACGGGUGAGUAAUGUAUCGGAACGUGCCCAGUAGCGGGGGAUAACUACGCGAAAGCGUAGCUAAUACCGCAUACUAUUGGAGCGGCCGAUAUCGGAUUAGCUAGUUGGUGGGGUAACGGCUCACCAAGGCGACGAUCCGUAGCUGGUGUGAGAGGACGACCAGCCACACGGGGACUGAGACACGGCCCAGACUCCUACGGGAGGCAGCAGUGGUGAAUUUUGGACAAUGGGGGAAACCCUGAUCCAGCCAUCCCGCGUGUGCGAUGAAGGCCUUCGGGUUGUAAAGCACUUUUGGCAGGGAGGCGGUACCUGCAGAAUAAGCACCGGCUAACUACGUGCCAGCAGCCGCGGUAAUAC
rnacentral:rRNA from 1 species